UACGUAGGGUGCGAGCGUUAAUCGGAAUUACUGGGCGUAAAGCGUGCGCAGGCGGUUUUGUAAGCCAGAUGUGAAAUCCCCGGGCUUAACCUGGGAAUGGCAUUUGGGACUGCAGGGCUGGAGUGCGGCAGAGGAGACUGGAAUUCCCGGUGUAGCAGUGAAAUGCGUAGAUAUCGGGAGGAAUACCGAUGGCGAAGGCAGGUCUCUGGGCUGACACUGACGCUCAUGCACGAAAGCGUGGGGAGCAAACAGG
rnacentral:rRNA from 1 species